rnacentral:rRNA from 1 species
GAUGAACGCUGGCGGCGUGCCUAAUACAUGCAAGUCGAACGCACAGCGAAAGGUGCUUGCACCUUUCAAGUGAGUGGCGAACGGGUGAGUAACACGUGGACAACCUGCCUCAAGGCUGGGGAUAACAUUUGGAAACAGAUGCUAAUACCGAAUAAAACUCAGUGUCGCAUGACACAAAGUUAAAAGGCGCUUUGGCGUCACCUAGAGAUGGAUCCGCGGUGCAUUAGUUAGUUGGUGGGGUAAAGGCCUACCAAGACAAUGAUGCAUAGCCGGGUUGAGAGACGGAUCGGGCAGAUGGGGACUGAGACACGGCCCAAACUCCUACGGGAGGCCGCAGUAGGGAAUCUUCCACAAUGGGCGAAAGCCUGAUGGAGCAACGCCGCGUGUGUGAUGAAGGCUUUCGGGUCGUAAAGCACUGUUGUAUGGGAAGAACAGCUAGAAUAGGGAAUGAUUUUAGUUUGACGGUACCAUACCAGAAAGGGACGGCUAAAUACGUGCCAGCCGCCGCAGUAA